UCUCUGCCCUUCCCUCUCCCCUUCUUCCCUUCUCUCUCUCUUUCACAGCUGCCAGUGUCAUUUUUGUGAUCUGCAGCUAGUAUUCUCACUCCAGUUGCAUAGUCACAAAAGUGAUCAUUGGCAGGUGUGGCCGCUGCA
rnacentral:miRNA from 1 species